rnacentral:tRNA from 1 species
GGCUGGGUAGCUCAGUGGAUUGAGAGCCAGCCUAGAGUGGGAGGUCCUAGGUUCGAAUCCAGCCUCAGCCA